UCCGUAGGCGGUCUUUUAAGUCAGUGGUGAAAUCCCAGAGCUCAACUCUGGAACUGCCAUUGAAACUGAAAGACUUGAAUAUGGUUGAGGUAGGCGGAAUACGUUAUGUAGCGGUGAAAUGCAUAGAUAUAACGUAGAACACCAAUUGCGAAGGCAGCUUACUAAACCAUUAUUGACGCUGAUGGACGAAAGCGUGGGGAGCAAACAGGAUUAGAUACCCUGGUAGUCC
rnacentral:rRNA from 1 species